GGCGAACGCUGGCGGCGUGCUUAACACAUGCAAGUCGAACGGAAAGGCCCUGCUUGCCGGGUACUCGAGUGGCGAACGGGUGAGUAACACGUGGGUGAUCUGCCCUGCACUUCGGGAUAAGCCUGGGAAACUGGGUCUAAUACCGGAUAGGAGCCAUUUUUAGUGUGAUGGUUGGAAAGUUUUUUUCGGUGUAGGAUGAGCUCGCGGCCUAUCAGCUUGUUGGUGGGGUAAUGGCCUACCAAGGCGGCGACGGGUAGCCGGCCUGUGAGGUUGGACGGCCACAUUGGGACUGAGAUCCGGCCCAGACUCCUACGGGAGUCAGCAGUGGGGAAUAUUGCACAAUGGGCGCAAGCCUGAUGCAGCGACGCCGCGUGGGGGAUGACGGCCUUCGGGUUGUAAACUCCUUUCGCUAGGGACGAAGCUUUUUGUGACGGUACCUAGAUAAGAAGCACCGGCUAACUACGUG
rnacentral:rRNA from 1 species